UAGAAAGGCUCAAAGGUACCAAGGAACAUGCCUCGUGUGUGCUACAACAGUACCAAUCAAAUACAAAGACGACAAGCAAAAUCGAGAGACAAUACAUGAGUGGAUAUCACACAUAGAAGAAAAAUGAGUGUUUGGCUCAAUACCUCUCGGUUGGGUCGAAUCAAAGAACCGGUCAAAAAGUGUGCGUUCCCUUCCUUUGCCUCUUGAUCACAUGAGUGCAACAAGCUAUUGUACUGCAAGUUUCACAUAUCACACACGGAGAAAAUCAAGUAAUUGAUACUCAAGUAACUAGAAAGAACAUGCCAAAAUAUUGAAACAAACUCUAGAAAUAAAAACCAUUCCACAAUCAAACAAGACAACGUUCAAAUUCAAAGUUUAAAAUAGUACAAUCCAGCCAAAUCCAAGCAACAUCAAAUUAUUAUUACAAAAAG
rnacentral:lncRNA from 1 species